rnacentral:rRNA from 1 species
AAAAAAAAACAAUAAAUCAAAACUUUCAACAACGGAUCUCUUGGUUCUGGGAUCACGUCAAGACCCGGCACUGAGUGAAUAACUCUGCAAAUCUUCCAAAAUUAUCAUUGAAUCUUUGAACGCACAUUGCGCCCGCCAGUAUUCUGGCGGGCAUGCC